GAUGAACGCUAGCGACAGGCUUAACACAUGCAAGUCGAGGGGCAGCGGGGAUUUAGUUUACUAAAUUUGCCGGCGACCGGCGCACGGGUGAGUAACACGUAUGCAACCUGCCCAUCGCAGGGGGAUAAUCGGAAGAAAUUCCGUCUAAUACCGCAUAAUAUGACAGGAAGGCAUCUUUCUGUUCUUAAAGAAUAUCGGCGAUGGAUGGGCAUGCGGCGCAUUAGCUAGUUGGUGAGGUAACGGCUCACCAAGGCGACGAUGCGUAGGGGUUCUGAGAGGAAGGUCCCCCACACUGGUACUGAGACACGGACCAGACUCCUACGGGAGGCAGCAGUGAGGAAUAUUGGUCAAUGGGCGAGAGCCUGAACCAGCCAAGUCGCGUGAGGGAAGACGGUCCUACGGAUUGUAAACCUCUUUUGUCGGGGAGCAAACGCUCUACGUGUAGAGAUAUGAGAGUACCCGAAGAAAAAGCAUCGGCUAACUCCGUGCCAGCAGCCGCGGUAAUAC
rnacentral:rRNA from 1 species